rnacentral:miRNA from 1 species
UGCAGGCUGGAAGUAGGAGUGU